CCUACGGGAGGCAGCAGUGGGGAAUAUUGCACAAUGGGGGAAACCCUGAUGCAGCGACGCCGCGUGAAGGACGAAGUAUUUCGGUAUGUAAACUUCUAUCAGCAGGGAAGAAAAUGACGGUACCUGACUAAGAAGCCCCGGCUAACUACGUGCCAGCAGCCGCGGUAAUACGUAGGGGGCAAGCGUUAUCCGGAUUGACUGGGUGGAAAGGGAGCGUAGGCGGUUUAGCAAGUCAGAAGUGAAAGCCCGGGGGUCAACUCCGGGACUGCUUUUGAAACUGUUGAACUAGAUUGCAGGAGAGGUAAGUGGAAUGCCUAGUGAAGCGGUGAAAUGCGUAGAUAUUAGGAGGAACACCAGUGGCGAAGGCGGCUUACUGGACUGUAAAUGACGCUGAGGCUCGAAAGCGUGGGGAGCAAACAGGAUUAGAUACCCCUGUAGUC
rnacentral:rRNA from 1 species